UACGGGGGGGGCAAGCGUUGUUCGGAAUUACUGGGCGUAAAGGGCUCGUAGGCGGCCAACUAAGUCAGACGUGAAAUCCCUCGGCUUAACCGGGGAACUGCGUCUGAUACUGGAUGGCUUGAGAUUGGGAGAGGGAUGCGGAAUUCCUGGUGUAGCGGUGAAAUGCGUAGAUAUCAGGAGGAACACCGGUGGCGAAGGCGGCUACCUGGACAGAGUCUGACGCUGAGGCACGAAAGCUAGGGGAGCAAACAGG
rnacentral:rRNA from 1 species